rnacentral:rRNA from 1 species
AACGAACGCUGGCGGCAUGCCUAACACAUGCAAGUCGAACGAGAUCCUUCGGGGUCUAGUGGCGCACGGGUGCGUAACGCGUGGGAAUCUGCCCUUAGGUUCGGAAUAACAGUUAGAAAUGACUGCUAAUACCGGAUGAUGACGUUAAGUCCAAAGAUUUAUCGCCUGAGGAUGAGCCCGCGUAGGAUUAGCUAGUUGGUGUGGUAAAGGCGCACCAAGGCGACGAUCCUUAGCUGGUCUGAGAGGAUGAUCAGCCACACUGGGACUGAGACACGGCCCAGACUCCUACGGGAGGCAGCAGUGGGGAAUAUUGGACAAUGGGCGCAAGCCUGAUCCAGCAAUGCCGCGUGAGUGAUGAAGGCCUUAGGGUUGUAAAGCUCUUUUGCCCGAGAUGAUAAUGACAGUAUCGGGAGAAUAAGCCCCGGCUAACUCCGUG